rnacentral:rRNA from 1 species
CCUACGGGGGGCAGCAGUGAGGAAUAUUGGUCAAUGGACGAGAGUCUGAACCAGCCAAGUAGCGUGAAGGAUGACUGCCCUAUGGGUUGUAAACUUCUUUUAUAUGGGAAUAAAACGUUCCACGUGUGGGAUUUUGUAUGUACCAUAUGAAUAAGGAUCGGCUAACUCCGUGCCAGCAGCCGCGGUAAUACGGAGGGUCCGAGCGUUAUCCGGAUUUAUUGGGUUUAAAGGGAGCGUAGGUGGAUUGUUAAGUCAGUUGUGAAAGUUUGCGGCUCAACCGUAAAAUUGCAGUUGAAACUGGCAGUCUUGAGUACAGGAGAGGUGGGCGGAAUUCGUGGUGUAGCGGUGAAAUGCUUAGAUAUCACGAAGAACUCCGAUUGCGAAGGCAGUUCACUGGACUGCAACUGACACUGAGGCUCGAAAGUGUGGGUAUCAAACAGGAUUAGAUACCCGUGUAGUC